AAAUUGGAAAUAUCAUCAACAGUUUCCAUAUUUUAUUUUCAAAUAAUCCUUUUUUUAUAAUUAUUUUAUGUUUUUUUAAUUUUAUUAGUGUGAAUGAAAAGUUAUUAAUUUAGUUAAAAGCUUACACUGAAAUCUCAGGAUUUAUUCACUUACGAAAAAUUGGAGUAAUGUUUUGAAAAUUUUUUUAAAAAAAAUUGGAAAAUAAAAUUUUGUACUCACAUAUACCAGUUUUCUAAAUAAAGAA
rnacentral:misc_RNA from 1 species